rnacentral:misc_RNA from 1 species
CUAGGUGGUGAGUAUGAUAAUGAGAGAAAGAUGGAUGACUUGAAGCUUCUUUAUAGAGCUUAUAUUACAGAUGCUUUAUCUAGUGGUCGCAUGGAAGAAAAUAAGCUAUCUGCAUUGAAUCAGUUAAGGAAUAUAUUUGGUUUAGGGAAAAGGGAGGCAGAAGCAAUUACACUUGAUGUUACCUCAAAGGCAUAUCGUAAACGACUUGCACAGGCCGUUUCCAGUGGAGAUUUAGAUUUGGCAGCUAGCAAAGCUGCCUUCCUGCAAAAUCUGUGUGAAGAGUUGUACUUUGAUGCACAAAGGGCAACUGAAAUACAUGAAGAAAUUUACCGACAGAAGCUCCAGCAAUGUGUGGCUGAUGGGGAGCUGAGUGAGGAUGAUGUUGUAGCUUUGAACCGUUUGAGAGUCAUGCUCUGCAUUCCUCAGCAAACUAUUGAUUCAGCUCACUCUGAUGUCUGUGGCACUUUGUUUGAAAAGGUGGUCAAGGAGGCAAUUGCUUCAGGAGUAGAUGGUUAUGAUGCUGAUGUUAAGAAGGCAGUAAGGAAGGCUGCUCAUGGCUUACGAUUAACUCGGGAGGCUGCCAUGUCUAUUGCUGGCAAAGCAGUUCGAAAGAUUUUCAUAAACUAUAUAAAGCGAGCACGGACAGCUGAUAAUCGUACUGAGGCUGCAAAAGAACUAAAGAAAAUGAUUGCUUUCAAUACAUUGGUUGUGACUGAAUUGGUAGGUGACAUAAAAGGAGAAUCUUCUGAUACUCCACCAGAAGAGUCCAAGCAGGAAGAAGAGAAAAUUAAAGAGGAUGAGGAAUGGGAUGAUGAAGAAUGGGAGUCCCUUGAGACGCUGAGGAAAAUAAAACCUAGUGAGGAGUUUGCUGCAAAGAUGGGGAAACCUGGUCAGACAGAGAUAAAUCUCAGAGAUGAUCUUCCUGAAAGGGAUAGGACUGACCUUUACAAGACAUACUUGCUAUACUGCCUAACUGGGGAAGUCACCAGGAUACCAUUUGGUGCUCAAAUCACCACAAAAAAGGAUGACUCAGAGUAUGUUUUGCUAAAUCAACUUGGUGGGAUUUUGGGUUUGACUGUCAAGGAAAUUGUGGAAGUUCACAGGAGCCUUGCUGAGCAGGCUUUUAGGCAACAAGCUGAGGUGAUUUUAGCUGAUGGACAGUUGACAAAAGCCAGGGUUGAGCAACUCAAUGAGGUGCAGAAGCAAGUUGGCUUGCCACCGGAGUAUGCGCAAAAGGUAAUAAAGAGCAUUACAACUACGAAAAUGGCAGCUGCUCUGGAAACUGCCAUCAGUCGUGGGAGGCUCAAUAUAAAACAGAUAAGAGAACUGAAGGAAGCAAAUGUUGAUUUGGACAGCAUGAUCUCUGAGAGGUUGCGAGACAACCUGUUCAAAAAAACUGUGGAUGAAAUUUUCUCAUCAGGUACUGGAGAGUUUGAUGAGGUGGAAGUUUAUGAGAAAAUCCCGGCAGAUCUUAACAUCAAUGCCGAGAAGGCCAAACAAGUUGUACGUGAACUUGCUAAGACUAGACUAUCAAAUUCACUAAUUCAAUCUGUGGCACUACUAAGGCAGAGAAAUCAUCAAGCAGUGGUUUCCACACUUAAUGAUUUGCUGGCUUGCGACAAAGCUGUGCCUUCUGAGCCAUUGACAUGGGAGGUACCAGAGGAGCUAGCUGAUUUAUUUACCAUCUACAUGAAAAAUGACCCACAACAAGAAAAGCUGUCCCGGUUGCAGUAUCUGCUAGGGAUAAGUGAUUCAGCAGCUGCUGCUCUCAGGGAGAUGAAAGAUAUACGAUCAGUUGGGACAGAGGAAGAAAAAUUUGUAUUCUAACUGUUAAUAGUAUGACAGUUG